GCAGAAUAGUGUGGACCUUCCGGUCAGGCCAGGCCUCCCUUCCUGCCGUUCAAAUCCCAGUCCCAGCCUCUUGCGGCUUCUGGCUUCUCCUGCUGCCUCUCCCGGCCCUUGAACCCCGAGGACAGAACAGCAGGAGGCGUCCGCACAGCCCCGUCCCCGGCAGAGAAAGACGGCACAGAGCAUGAUUUCCUGGAGCCCAGUCAAGGAGCAGUUCCCCAGUGCCAGGAAACCCAGGGACGGAAACUGUGGCUGCGGGACCCAUCCACGGGACGUGCUGUCGGGAAUAAGCCCAGAGAGAGGAGGAGUGCGGCCGAACAGAAGGGCCAGACCUGCCCCGGGGGCGCCGACCAGGAGGUGACCUCUGCCGGGUUCCUUUAAGACCGUGGGAUGUAACUCUGAGAAAAAGCGGCUUUCGGGCAGAAAGUGUUUAGAGCAGACCGGGUUCAUCAGGCUUUUCUCUAAUUGCACACCUUCUCAGAGCCUUCACUCUCUGAGGUGAAGUCCAAGGUGGGAGCAAGGGCUGUAGCAGAUUCAGGCUCAUCUGACAGAGGAGCACAGUGCUGGGCAUUUUGUGGGACUGCUGUUCUACGGGGACGCACCGGGAGGAAGGCGUGCCGGUGUCCCUGCAAGUGUCAGGACACAAGCUCCGUGACGCGGGGAUCUCAUCUGCUUUACCCGUGUCCCCAGAGUCGAGUACAAUGUCCGGCACAGUAAAGAGUGGAUCAAUCAAUCAGUCGAUGUGUGCAGGGCUCUCUGCUUUCUUCGUUCUUGUUUCUUUCCCUUCCUGCAAAGCCAUGUCCUCCCAACCUUCCUUCUUGUUCUUCCUUCCAAGUGUUUACCGUGACAAGCUCUGUGCCGAUCCCGGGGACACAUUAGUGAAAGAAAACAGGCCUGCUGUGUGCUCACUAAUCGCAGAACGAUGUGUGCCUGCUGAGGCAGCCUCCCUUGGGAACCUUGGUGACGGAAGGGGAAGGCCCAGAGGAGAGUAUGACCAAAAGGCCAUGUGGUGAGGAGAGAGGAGGAAAGUUACUCCUUCGUUCAUUCAGAUAAUACUGAACAUCUAUGUGACUGAAAUGCCGGAGAUCCAGCAAAGCGAUACCCAGGCUCUUGGCCUUGGAGACUCAGUAGGUGAGUCAGAUAUUUUUCAAGUAUUACACAGAAAGUAUAAAUCGCAUCCGUGGGCAGUUCUCUGAAGGAGAAAUACAAGACACUAAGAGAGAUUCUGAGAGGGCUGUGGCAUGGUCAAGGGGAUCAUCAAGGUGGCUUCCCUGAGGAAGGAAUGCUUUAACUGAGAUCUCAGACAGGAGAAGGAAUUCGCAAAGUGAGUGUGAGUGUGGAAGGGGAGGAGCAGGAAAUGUUUCAGAGAGUCAAAAACACAUGCAAAGUCCCUGUGGCAGGAGACAUCUUGGUGCUCUCUGGAGACAGAGAGCAAAGGGUCGGGUGAGGUCCUGAAGUUAGAGCAUAGGAAGCCAAUGAAAUAUCUCAAGCAAAGGAGGGGACGUGAUUCUAUUUAAGUUUGGAAAAAGAUUCCCCUGACUCCUGUGUAGGAGGAUUUGCUUCCUCUUAACCAUUGAGAGCAGGCUUGGCAAGAAGGGACUGGGAACUAAUGGGCAAGUCAAUUUCUUUGGCCAGGCUUCAGUUUCCCCCUCUCCCUAGUGAGUUUGGCUUCAGCGGUUG
rnacentral:lncRNA from 1 species